UACGGAGGGUGCAACCGUUGUCCGGAAUCACUGGGCGUAAAGAGCAUGUAGGUGGUUUGGUAAGUGGGUGAUUAAAGACCGAUGCUUAACAUCGGGAAUGUUGCCUAUACUGCCUGACUUGAGUAUGACAGGGGUAAGCGGAACUUUAGGUGUAGGAGUGAAAUCCGUAGAUAUCUAAAGGAACACCAAUGGCGAAGGCAGCUUACUGGGUCUUUACUGACACUGAGAUGCGAAAGCGUGGGGAGCGAACGGG
rnacentral:rRNA from 1 species